CAAGCGGUGGAGCAUGUGGUUCAAUUCGACGCAACGCGAAGAACCUUACCUGGGCUCGAAAUGCAGGAGACCGGGGUAGAAAUAUCCUUUCCCCGCAAGGGGCUGCUGUAUAGGUGCUGCAUGGCUGUCGUCAGCUCGUGUCGUGAGGUGUUGGGUUAAGUCCCGCAACGAGCGCAACCCUCAUCCCUAGUUGCCACCGGGUAAUGCCGAGCACUCUAGUGAAACCGCCCCGGAUAACGGGGAGGAAGGCGGGGAUGACGUCAAGUCCUCAUGGCCUUUAUGUCCAGGGCUACACACGUGCUACAAUGGUCGGUACAAACCGUCGCAAAGCCGCAAGGUGGAGCUAAUCGGAAAAAGCCGGCCUCAGUUCGGAUUGGAGUCUGCAACUCGACUCCAUGAAGCUGGAAUCGCUAGUAAUCGCAGAUCAGAACGCUGCGGUGAAUACGUUCCCGGGCCUUGUACACACC
rnacentral:rRNA from 1 species